GCUUUGCUUUCUUUACUCCUGUGCUACUCUACUCUACUGAUGUGCUGCGCAUGCGCUACUCAAUACUGCGCAUGCGCAUUAAUUUUCACCAGCCCGGUUACGACUCAGUGGAAACGAGUAGAAAUGAGUCUUAGAAAGCUGAUAAAAGACACCCAGAAGAAGACAAAUCCUUCUUACUUUUUGAAAUACUUUAAGCAAGACGAUACUUAUUCUAUUGUGAAAGCAAACUGUGUAGAAGUUGAGCAGCUGGAAGCUGGUACCUCCUGCAGAGUAAGGGAUGGAAAGGACUUUCAUGAUGGCACAAUAGUCACCUUUGGAGAUAAGAAAGAUGUAAGUAAUGCAGCAGGUGAUAUUAUUGAGAAGAUUGAGAAUGAGUCAGCGGAGAAUAUGGAGAAAGAGUCAGCCAAGAAUAUGGAGAAACAGUCAGCUGAGAGUAUGAAGAAUGAGUCAGACUACAAAGCGUGGCACAAUAAAAAGGAAAGCUAAGAAAAGUACCACCGAAUAAAGAAACCUAAAAUAGAAAAAGGAAAGGAAGAAAUGCACAGUUAAUAUUGUUGCUGUUGGUUGUGCUACAAAUAAUGAAUCUGCUGCAAAUAAUGAAGCAACAAGCUUCAACACUGGAGAUCCUUCUAAGCAUAUGAGUAUCAAAGCAAGAAAACCUUCAGAGAGAAAAGAGGCAGAUUCCAGUGAAAGAAUUCUUUGUCAUAGCCCUCCACCACUUCCACCACCACUUGCACUGGUGGAGCUUAAAACUCAAGCUGCAUGUAGUACUGAAACAGAGGUUAUAUACUGUCUCUAAUUAGAAGAAUGGAAAUUU
rnacentral:misc_RNA from 1 species